rnacentral:rRNA from 1 species
UACGAAGGGGGCGAGCGUUGUUCGGAAUUACUGGGCGUAAAGGGCGCGUAGGCGGCGACCCAAGUCAGAUGUGAAAGUCCUGGGCUUAACCUGGGGACUGCAUUUGAUACUGGGUUGCUUGAAUUCGGGAGAGGAUAGCGGAAUUCCCAGUGUAGAGGUGAAAUUCGUAGAUAUUGGGAAGAACACCGAUGGCGAAGGCAGCCAUCUGGACCGACACUGACGCUGAGGCGCGAAAAGCGUGGGGAGCAAACAGG